rnacentral:lncRNA from 10 species
GAAGCCUAGCCGAGGCCUCAGAAUAUGGAUGAGAUCAUCUGAGACCAUCCACCCCAGGAAGCCAGCAAAGUGGCUAGAACCCGCCAUACCACCGCAGAAUCACGAUUGCUGUUCUGAGUCACUACAUUUCAGGUGACUUGUUGAGCAGCAAACGAGCUGACGAACCUAAAGUCAGAAGAUGCUAGCGGAAGAAACAGGACCCAGAACUCCAUUGGAAAAUGGGGUAUACAGACUUCGAGGAUGCCAGACAAAAAGAUCAUUUGAAAUAUUGUUGUCACUAAGCCUUCUUUGAUCAAGACACCAUGAGCUCAUGGCAAACGCCUCAAUUUCCUUCUUCUGUAAAUAAAUUAAUACCUGGUGAGAUGUAAAAGCCCACUUGAACGGAAAACAACAUGUUUGAUGAAAUUCUGAGAGAAGAUACAACCCAAGGUAAAAAGAGAGGGGAGAGUGGAGUAAAGAACUGCCUAACCUAAUGU